rnacentral:lncRNA from 1 species
UCGGUCUUGAACAUUUGAGCUCGUCUUUGGCUUGUCUAUGCAAUUCCGUCAUCAAUAUGCUUCUCGGCAUUCAAUCUUGAUUGUUUGUCAUAUAAUGACGUUGUUUGACACUUGACUUCAUUGUUUGUCAUUCAUCAAAACCUAUACCUGAAAAUCAUGCUAAUACAACCAAAGCGCACAUAUCAUAGAUAGAAUGAUUUUCUACAAG